rnacentral:lncRNA from 1 species
UAAAAUAAUAGCCGCACACCACGCACUUCUCCAUGCCUCUUCUUCAUCUCCGACGGCCGGAAGUUCCGGUGCCCCUUUCACCAACCGUAGCACACCCUCAUACAUUUACAACCCUCCUUCAUUCUAUUUGAUCAAGCCCUCACAAGACCCCAUCUCCCCUUAUCUUGUUCCCACACGCACACCCCUGCACAGUAGAGAUAGAGAGAGAGAGAGAGCAAAGAUAGAACCGGCGACGACCGGAGACGCCGCUCAUGUCCGCAGUGACGGCGUUUUCUCCUUCUCCGAUGGUGAUAAAGCUGUGAAGACGCUGAUUCAGCAACAGAUUUUGAGCGGGUUCGAGCUCGGUUCGGACUUGGGUUCGAAUCACGGAUGUUUCGGGUUUGUUCCGGGUCUCGGUUCAGAAAAGGAAGUAGCAGGACGUGAUUGACCUACCUUGACUGUUAACCAUUUUUAAGAGACCAACCGAGCAAACCAAAGGUGAGUUCACUGCACUUUUCUCAAGCAUGCGUCCCGGUGGUUUGGGACAACUGGUAAACAUUUGGAAGGGAAACAUUGGGUAAAUAACUUAAUCGGUUUUGGUUAUUUCCUGGAGGGCAAUGGGGGUGAUUAGUUGAUAGCGCUAUUAGGUGGGAAACCUCACACCGGGCCGUAAGGACGGGCGUGAACUAAUUAUCUGGGUAUGGCUAUGGUUGUUAGAGGCACACUCCUCGGAUACAUAUGGGCACUCUCCCUAGGGUAUCUAACGAAGGCAACAUAGCAAACGGUCGUUAAGGGGUACCCACUCCCCGGAUACACAUGGGCACACUCCCUAGGGUAUCUAACAUGAGCAACAUCGUAACGCAAUAUUGACUCGCAUUAACUUACAUCUGGUAACUCAACACGUUAACAAAACCUUGAACUCACCAGCGUAGUCUGACACACUUGUUUACAUGCUUGUAGGUAAUUAUUGAAGGAACUUGGGAGCUUGCUGUCUGAUGCUGCUGGAGUGGUUGUGGUCAUAAUAAACAGUUAUUUUGAUUUGGUUUUGAUACAUUUACACACUUAUACAUUUAUGCUUCCGCUCAGUACUUUGGUUUUGGUUUAACUUUCAAACGAUACAUUUCUUUCAAUUGGGUGUUUUAUUACUU